AGUGAACGCUGGCGGUAGGCCUAACACAUGCAAGUCGAACGGCAGCACAGUAAGAGCUUGCUCUUACGGGUGGCGAGUGGCGGACGGGUGAGGAAUACAUCGGAAUCUACUUUUUCGUGGGGGAUAACGUAGGGAAACUUACGCUAAUACCGCAUACGACCUACGGGUGAAAGCAGGGGAUCUUCGGACCUUGCGCGAUUGAAUGAGCCGAUGUCGGAUUAGCUAGUUGGCGGGGUAAAGGCCCACCAAGGCGACGAUCCGUAGCUGGUCUGAGAGGAUGAUCAGCCACACUGGAACUGAGACACGGUCCAGACUCCUACGGGAGGCAGCAGUGGGGAAUAUUGGACAAUGGGCGAAAGCCUGAUACAGCCAUACCGCGUGGGUGAAGAAGGCCUUAGGGUUGUAAAGCCCUUUUGUUGGGAAAGAAAAGCAGCAGGUUAAUACCCCGCUGUUCUGACGGUACCCAAAGAAUAAGCACCGGCUAACUUCGCG
rnacentral:rRNA from 1 species